rnacentral:tRNA from 1 species
GGGCGGUUAGCUCAGCGGUAGAGCACUACCUUGACAUGGUAGGGGUCACUGGUUCAAUCCCAGUACCGCCCACCA